ACGGCGCACGGGUGCUUGCACCUGGUGGCGAGUGGCGAACGGGUGAGUAAUAUAUCGGAACGUACCCUAGAGUGGGGGAUAACGCAGCGAAAGUUGCGCUAAUACCGCAUACGAUCUACGGAUGAAAGUGGGGGAUCGCAAGACCUCAUGCUCAUGGAGCGGCCGAUAUCUGAUUAGCUAGUUGGUGGGGUAAAAGCCUACCAAGGCAUCGAUCAGUAGCUGGUCUGAGAGGACGACCAGCCACACUGGAACUGAGACACGGUCCAGACUCCUACGGGAGGCAGCAGUGGGGAAUUUUGGACAAUGGGCGCAAGCCUGAUCCAGCAAUGCCGCGUGAGUGAAGAAGGCCUUCGGGUUGUAAAGCUCUUUUGUCAGGGAAGAAACGGUGAGGGCUAAUAUCCUUUGCUAAUGACGGUACCUGAAGAAUAAGCACCGGCUAACUACGUGCCAGCAGCCGCGGUAAUACGUAGGGUGCAAGCGUUAAUCGGAAUUACUGGGCGUAAAGCGUGCGCAGGCGGUUAUGUAAGUCAGAUGUGAAAUCCCCGGGCUCAACCUGGGAAUGGCAUUUGAGACUGCAUGGCUAGAGUGUGUCAGAGGGGGGUAGAAUUCCACGUGUAGCAGUGAAAUGCGUAGAGAUGUGGAGGAAUACCGAUGGCGAAGGCAGCCCCCUGGGAUAACACUGACGCUCAUGCACGAAAGCGUGGGGAGCAAACAGGAUUAGAUACCCUGGUAGUCCACGCCCUAAACGAUGUCUACUAGUUGUCGGGACUUAAUUGUCUUGGUAACGCAGCUAACGCGUGAAGUAGACCGCCUGGGGAGUACGGUCGCAAGAUUAAAACUCAAAGGAAUUGACGGGGACCCGCACAAGCGGUGGAUGAUGUGGAUUAAUUCGAUGCAACGCGAAAAACCUUACCUACCCUUGACAUGUACGGAACCUCUGAGAGAUUAGAGGGUGCUCGAAAGAGAGCCGUAACACAGGUGCUGCAUGGCUGUCGUCAGCUCGUGUCGUGAGAUGUUGGGUUAAGUCCCGCAACGAGCGCAACCCUUGUCAUUAGUUGCUACGAAAGGGCACUCUAAUGAGACUGCCGGUGACAAACCGGAGGAAGGUGGGGAUGACGUCAAGUCCUCAUGGCCCUUAUGGGUAGGGCUUCACACGUCAUACAAUGGUACAUACAGAGGGCCGCCAACCCGCGAGGGGGAGCUAAUCCCAGAAAGUGUAUCGUAGUCCGGAUUGUAGUCUGCAACUCGACUACAUGAAGUUGGAAUCGCUAGUAAUCGCGGAUCAGCAUGUCGCGGUGAAUACGUUCCCGGGUCUUGUACACACCGCCCGUCACACCAUGGGAGCGGGUUUCACCAGAAGUAGGUAGCCUAACCGCAAGGAGGGCG
rnacentral:rRNA from 1 species